rnacentral:rRNA from 1 species
CAGGAGCAUUGCUGGGUAGCUACGUGUGGACGGGAUAAGUGCUGAAAGCAUCUAAGCAUGAAGCCCCCCUUGAGAUGAGAUUUCCCUUUGUAGAGAUGCCUCUGAGACGAAGAGGUUGAUAGGUCCGGUGUGGAAGCGUGGCGACACGUGCAGCAGACGGAUACUAAUCCAUCGAGAUCUUCUCU